rnacentral:lncRNA from 10 species
GUUUUGCAAUAGCAGGCAGCACAGCGCAGGAGCUCUCAGACUACCUCAGAUGCCAAGAGCCUGGUUUGAAUACAAGCCUUGCCAUUGUGUGACUUUGGGUAAGUUUCUUAACCUUUCUGUGCCUUGGGUUCUUCAUCUGUAAAAUGGGAAUGAAAAUUUUACCACCCAUAGGGCUGUUAUGAGACUCAAAUAAGGAGGUAGUGAGAACACACUUAAAGCAGUACCUUCUGCAGAAGUCUAGUUCUGAGACAUCUGAAAGAAGCAAGGAGGAGCAACUGGGAAAAUGGGGUGAUUCUGUAGACCAAAAGGUUGAGGAGUGUUGCACCUUUCUUACUCUUAGGUAUUUACAAUACACUGUAACAAAUUAAAUUCAAAUUCCUACUUUACAUAAUAGAAUUUAUUUUGUGUAAUUUUCUCUUUCUCCAAACUUAUUUGAGGGUAGCAACCCACUUCACCUAACACUUCUGAAUGUCCUUUAGUGUAGGGGGUAUCUGGCACUCAGGAACCCCUUCUUCCCUCACAUGAACCCUGGGGAGCAACCAAGGGGGACUUCAGAAGGCUCCAAUCCUACUACAUAUUUUUGCUCAAUGUUUCUCAAAAGUCUAGUGGAUUUUUUCCAUUGGUGAUUUGCAUGCAGGUCCCAUGAUUACACUUUGAAGUUGAUGAGUAAUAUUUAGGAGUAGAAGUCUUUCCACUUCUAGUUCCUCACAUUAGUAGGUUAUGUGGGCAAGUUAAUUAACCUAGCUGGUUCAAGUCUUGCUUUCCACUAGAAAGAGAUCUAUGCAUAAAAUUAAUAAUUACUACAUCCUUUCAAAUACAAGCCAAUUGCACUUUACUAGAAAAAAAUCAUACCCAAGCCCUGCUCCAAAAAGUCAUGAGAAUAAUUAACAAAGCCAACAGUAAGACAUAUUUACUCACAAUUAGAAACUGAAGGACUGAAUAAGUCAUUCUGCCUGCAUGGUUAUAUAUUUUCCCACCGAUCUGUGAAUCUGUGAAAUAUAGCGGUCCAAGAGGGUUUAGCUAAAACCAGGAGACUGGAUGUUAAGGUCGUGUGUGACACAGGCACAUGUGAAAGAUGGCCAUGUCUGGAAGAGAACAUAAUUUCUACUUUACCUAGGGCAGAGUGCUCACAAGAAAAUACAACGUGAUUAACCAGGAAAGAUUGAACCAGGCCUGACCCUUCUGAGGCAGAUUUCAUGGAAUGGUAUAUAUAUAUAUUUUUAAUAGAGAUUGCCAAUAUUUUGUCUUGCCAAAUAAAAAUUAAAAUAAGGAAAAGUUACUAUCCACUAUCACCACAUUUCAGUAAAGAAAAGAGACAUUUUACCAACAUAAAAAUAAAACAGACUUAAUUUUGGAAUAAAAGACUGUUCUUAAAAUUGAAUAAAUGUAGUGAUGUGAAAAACCUCA